AUUGAACGCUGGCGGCAUGCCUUACACAUGCAAGUCGAACGGCAGCACGGGUGCUUGCACCUGGUGGCGAGUGGCGAACGGGUGAGUAAUACAUCGGAACAUGUCCUGUAGUGGGGGAUAGCCCGGCGAAAGCCGGAUUAAUACCGCAUACGAUCUACGGAUGAAAGCGGGGGACCUUCGGGCCUCGCGCUAUCGGGUUGGCCGAUGGCUGAUUAGCUAGUUGGUGGGGUAAAGGCCUACCAAGGCGACGAUCAGUAGCUGGUCUGAGAGGACGACCAGCCACACUGGGACUGAGACACGGCCCAGACUCCUACGGGAGGCAGCAGUGGGGAAUUUUGGACAAUGGGCGAAAGCCUGAUCCAGCAAUGCCGCGUGUGUGAAGAAGGCCUUCGGGUUGUAAAGCACUUUUGUCCGGAAAGAAAUCCUUGGGCCUAAUACGGUCGGGGGAUGACGGUACCGGAAGAAUAAGCACCGGCUAACUACGUG
rnacentral:rRNA from 1 species